AGAAACUGAGAUAAAUAGAUAUGAUUAUUAAGUGGUAUUUGAGGUAGCAUUUGAACCCAGAACUUCUUGGUAUCAAGUCCAGUUCCCUAUCCACUACAUGAUGCUACCUCUGCCUUCUUUUAUACUCCAAAUAUACAUUUUAGAAAGCAAACCAAUUGUAUUGUUCUUAACUUUAUUUAUCAGCUUCUAUUGCUCCUGAGGUUUAGUGUUUUUCCCAUUAUUCUCAGAGGACCAUGGCAUACUUUUCUACUUGACCUCAGUUACCUGUCCUUACUUGCAUCUCUGACCACAUCUUCAUGUGAAGAAUAUUUGCGUCAUUAUUCAGAACAUGACAUGGAGUCAAGGCCCUUCCCCUUUCAAAUGGCCCUACUCUGGAGCUCAAAGCCCUACCUAAAUAAAAUGUGCUGUCUAGACUGGAACACAAUCUUCUAGAUGGACACUGGUCAUAUCAGAAGAUAUCUUUCCCAGAGUCUCCCAAACAUUCCUUCCAGGGAAACAAGCCAUGUAAAAAGAUCCGCCUGCGUCUUAGCUGUUAGGAGAAGCCAAGAGAAAGAUGGCGGACAGCCGCAGCAGCCACAGCUCCAGGUCAAUACAGCCUGUGCCUGUAUCAAUUAAGACCUUCAUCGAUCACCUCGAUCUACAUUAAG
rnacentral:lncRNA from 1 species